rnacentral:tRNA from 1 species
UGCGGGGAUGGAGCAACGGAGGCUCGCCAGCCUCAUAAGCUGGAAAUCGGCGAGUUCGACUCUCGCUCCCGCAA